rnacentral:rRNA from 1 species
UCGACCCUACGGGGGGCAGCAGUGAGGGAUAUUGGUCAAUGGGGGAAACCCUGAACCAGCAACGCCGCGUGAGGGAAGACGGUUUUCGGAUUGUAAACCUCUGUCCUCUGUGAAGAUAAUGACGGUAGCAGAGGAGGAAGCUCCGGCUAACUACGUGCCAGCAGCCGCGGUAAUACGUAGGGAGCGAGCGUUGUCCGGAUUUACUGGGUGUAAAGGGUGCGUAGGCGGGUAAGCAAGUCAGAAGUGAAAUCCAUGGGCUUCACCCAUGAACUGCUUUUGCAGCUGUUUAUCUUGUGUGAAUUAGA